CCCAGGCACGGUCCCUCACUUCUGUGUCCACCAGGAAGGCCACGUUGUAAUCCCGUCUGCCCCACGCGGGACCUGACGAGGCGCUGGGCGAGAUGCUCACCCAGCCGCACCGAUGGCCUGGCCACCCCGGGGGCUGCCCUGCUGUGUCCCACCCGACCCGAGGAUGGGCCCCUUGUUUGCUGCUGGGGAGGCCCAGGUGUAUCUGCCAAGAUUGCUUCUGGGCUGGGCCCCGGCCACACGCAGGAGGCUGAGUGUCAGCCAGUGGCCCCUACGGUGGCUGAGCCGACGAGUAAGGGCCCCGGCUCACACCCGCAGCUUAGGCUUACCCGUGUACAAGGCCAGGCCUGGCCACUCCUGCCUGCACAGCCCACACAGCGGUCACACGGCAGCCCGCACCUGCACAGAACGAGGGCCAGUUUCACUGCUCGGCACCCGGGGGUGGGGGUGGGCACUGCCCUGUAUCCACAGCUAGCAGGAGAGGGAGCAGAGACACGAGAAGCAGGUGGGUCUCAGCCAGGUGUGCCUGGCCUCCCUGCACUGUGGUCCCACCAGGUGCGUGGCAGGGCCCGGUGGGGAGAGCUGGGUUCCGGGCAGGCACUGGUGCUGUCCUCCAAAGAACCAGUAGAGGGCACCCUUCAGCCGCGAUGCUUGCAGAGGGCUUGGCGUUGGUCCUGGGUUGGAGGCAGAAGCAGGGAGCAGUGCCGGGUGGGGUGUGGCGCUGGAUGCGGGGUCUCGGGCCUCAGGAGAAGCAGCCGCUGGUGUGGAAACGUGCUGGGACCCCUCACCCCCGCCUUUGUGAGCUUUGGCUUCCGUCGCCGGCAGCAGCCACGACCAGGCCCCCGUCCUGAGCGACAAGCACCUGGACGUGCCCGACAUCAUCAUCACGCCCCCCACCCCCACGGGCGUGCUGCUGCCCCGGGACUCGAGGCCGACAGGUGAGGCUGGGCUGGGGCCGCGGCAGGGCCGAUGAAUGUGUGCUGGGACCCGGCCACCCCUGGCCAUGGCCCCAGCCCCAGCAGGACGCAGCCUGCAGAGCGAUGGGCUGGACGAGGCCUGCUGGCAGCCGGGAUGAUGGAUGGACAGGGCCGGCCAGGCUCCCUGAUGGAUGCGCUGUCUCCUGCCAACAGGACGGCGCUGCCUGCCGUUGGCGGCAGCCACUGCUGGCCGCACAGCGCGACUUGGAAUCAGCCUGCGCCCAGGCUGGGGCUGGGCCCUGGGCCUGCUAGAGGGAGGGAGACGGCUCCCCGCAGCGGGAGGGAGAGAGGGAGGCCCGGGCGGGCGCGUGUUGGGGCUCAUCCCCGACAGAUUCACCGGGCUAAGGGCGGUGGGCUGCUCCUCCCACCGAGCGCUCCCGGGGACUCUGAGGCAGGUGGGGUCUUCAUCCCCAUUUCCUAGGUGGAUAAACUGAGGCUCAGGGAGAUCCCUGCCACACAGCUGGUAGGUGGUGGAGCUGCGAUUCAGGGCUGGCCUCUGUGGUCUGGGGCUUGAGCUGGGGACCCGGAGCCCUGGCGGGAGCCACUCCCAGCCCCCGACACACAGGCCUUGCUGGGCACCUGCUGAUACAAAGUGUGUGGCGGGCACCGCGGGGGGCGGUGCUUGGGUAGAAUGUCCUGGAUGAGCCGAAUCUACAUCCCAGCCUGCCCUCCAGAGCCAGUGGUACGCUCCGUGGUCCGGGAGCCGUGGGUCGUGUUCUCCAUGGCUUCCCCCAUACCUGGCACCGAGCCUCCCCGGGAGCUGGGCUGAUUGUUCCAGCCAAGUAGGCUGAGUGGCGUCCACCUCUGGCUGGGCACGGGGAAGGGCCAGGUCCAGAGACAGACAGGGACCCCCUAAGGGCACACAGCCGGGGAGGGGACGGGGGGGGGGGCAGGGCUAUCCCCCCCCCGCAGCGCCCCCCCCAUCCCCCAGCUGGUGUCUGAGCUGGGGGUGGGGCCUGCUCUGC
rnacentral:lncRNA from 1 species